CAGCAUUGGUAUCGAUCCCGAGGCUUCAGAGUCCCAGAGACAUUUUAGCGAAGAGGUUUGAGGAAUGGAUGAGGAUGUCCUGCACAGGUUAGAACGAGCGAUCCUCAUCAAACAUGCGGCUCUCAUUCUUGCUCCGCCAUUGGUAACAGAUUGCUGCAGCUUCAAGAGUUGUAUAUAUAGCUAAUAUCACGGCAUCCCACCCCAUAUUUAUCGUACUUGGGGGGGUUUUAACCCCGGUGGAUCCUUUUGCUCCAAUGUGCGUUGCUUCAGCUUCAGAUAUUAAUUUCGAAUGUAUUUGAUUCAGCAAUGAACCACCCCAAAGG
rnacentral:sRNA from 2 species